CGCGAGGUAGAGCAAAUCUCAAAAAAACAUCUCAGUUCAGACUGCAGGCUGCAACUCGCCUGCACGAAGUCGGAAUUGCUAGUAAUCGUAGGUCAGCAUACUACGGUGAAUACGUUCCCGGGCCUUGUACACACCGCCCGUCAAACCAUGAGAGUUGGCAACACCCGAAGUCGGUAGUCUAACCGCAAGGAGGACGCCGCCGAAGGUGGGGUUGAUGAUUAGGGUUAAGUCGUAACAAGGUAAC
rnacentral:rRNA from 1 species